rnacentral:lncRNA from 1 species
CGUUGAGCCUAAGAGAAGCAACUUGUUCCAGAAAAAAUACCUGUUGGUUACUGCGCUAGAACUUAUUCUGACAUUCAUCAACACCUUUUGGAAUAUGAACAAAAGAUAUCUAAAAAUCUUCAAAAUAGCAAUCCAGAAGGAACAUCUGAAGGAACGCCUGACGAGUCUGAACCCUUGGCGGAAAGAAGCCUGAGUAGGCUGAACACUUGGUGGAGGGAGCGCCUGAUGAGGCUGCACGCUUGGCGAAAGGAACACCCAACGAGGCUACACCCUUUGUAGAGGGAACAUCUGAGAUUAUCGCAUAUCCUAGAAAAGAAACAUCUACAAAAGCAAAUAC